rnacentral:rRNA from 1 species
GACAGAGGGGGCAAGCGUUGCUCGGAAUUACUGGGCGUAAAGGGCGCGUAGGCGGGAUGGCAAGUCGGUCGUGAAAUCCCUCGGCUCAACUGAGGAGCGUCGAUCGAAACUGCCGUUCUUGAGGGUUGCAGGGGAGACUGGAAUUCCUGGUGUAGCGGUGGAAUGCGCAGAUAUCAGGAGGAACACCGGUGGCGAAGGCGGGUCUCUGGGCAGUAACUGACGCUGAGGAGCGAAAGCGUGGGGAGCGAACAGG